rnacentral:lncRNA from 1 species
AUGUUAAGUAGAGUCAAUGAGGAGUCCCAGUUUGGUGAUGGGUUUGACAAGGUUGUUGGAGAAGGUUUGCUGAUGUGACUCACCUAUUUUAGUGUCCCAAAGCCUUUGAAAAGGAUGCUUGAGAUGCUCUUAGAAAUUAUAACUUCUGUCAAAAUUCAAAGUUUAUUUCCCUCAUCCAAACACACCGUAAACCACCAAAGCAAGAAUUCUUCUUGUUUUAAUAAUGCAUAAUGAAUGUAUUUAAUAGGUCUCAUCCAGCUAUUUAUUUAUUUAUUUUUAAAUGAAGAACAUAAAAGUGUUACUGUUAAAAACCUCAUCACAUCUCUUCUCUUGAGUAGCAUCCACUCCAUCUCUCUUAAUUUUUUUCUUUCAUCAUUCUUAGUCUCUUCACUCCAUCUUCUCGUCCUCUUCUAUGCAUCUAUCUCAUUUUUUCUCUGUGUUGUACUAUUCAAUGAACUCCACAUUUUCUUUCAUGGUCUUUGUGUUGUACUAUUUAGAGCUUCAAUGGGCCGGAAUAUUGAAGUUGUAAAUUUAAGUCUCGUCAGAAAAUGUAAAAAAAAAAAAAACAUAGAUAUACAUUAAUUUUUACAUCUCCAUUUGUAAGUCCUACUGACACAAAUACGCAUGAAAAAAGCUGAUGAAGUAAACAAAAUAGAGAAAGGGAAGUUUUUUAGGUUUUUGGAACUCAAAUGGGUUCUGAUAGGCUGUAAAUAGGCCUCAUCAUUUGGCCCGCGGGCUCAUGGGCCAAUGGAGGGCCGCUCGGCCCAUCGAAAAAAAGCCCGGCCCGGCCCGUUAUGGGCUUUGAGAUGGUCCGGCUCGCCUUAGGCUGGGCUAGGCUUGGGCUUGAGUAUUUGAAGCCCGGCCCAGCCCGAUUAAGCCCAAGAAAGCCCAGCCCAGCCAGCCCACAAAAGCCCGGCCCGUUAGGCCCGCAUACAUAUAUAAUUAUGCAUAAAUAUGAGUUUAGGUUUAGGAUUAUAUCACUUAAAUCACAUGUAUAAUUUGUUUCAUUUCAUUUACUUAUCUUUACUCAUUCCUAGUUUAUAAUUGGAUGAUUAGCAAAUUAAUUUGUGUCAAUUAUUAAUUCAACAAUUAUAUAUAUAUAAGAUGAACAACAUAUCACAUCGCCAAAUAUAAUCAUAUCACGAAACAUAAUCGUACCACCAAAAUAUAAUCAUGUUUUUCUUGAACACAUCACCAAAUAUUUGUGUAUUUAUUCAUACCAUCCUUUAAAAAACUAUUUUUUUGAUACUUAUUAUUUUUAAAAAUUAUUUCUUAAAAUGUAUUACGAUCUAAUUAUGUAAUAACCUCAAAAAUAAUACUUGGUUUUAUUAUUUUUGUGGAAAAUCUUAUAAGUUGUGUGACUUUAUUGGGUAUCUUAUGAAUUUGGUUUGAUGUAAAAAUAUUGGAAUUAAGUGAGUUUAAUCUCAAAUUUGGACUGAAAUGCCCUUAUGAUUAAGUUUAUGAUUUUUUUUUAAUGAAGUAGGGCACGUUUAGGCCCGGCCUCGGCCUUGGCCCGAUGGGCUUUCUCAAACCUGGCUAAUGGGCCGGACUUGGGCUUUGAAUUUUCUAAAAAAACUUGGCCCGGCCUGGCCCGAUAUUUUCUCUUUUCUCUUUAAAGCCCGACCCAGCCCAGCCCAGCCCAAGCCCAUUAAAUUUGGGCCGGACUAGCUCGGCUUGGCCCAUUGACGAGCCCUAGUUGUAAAUGUGGAUGCAGAUUAAUUGUUCAAAUUUUCAUCCCAAAUGCUGCAUGAAAAAACAUUCCUAACUACAAUAGUGAGCAGUGGGUGGCUCCAUCUCUAACUCCUUUGGGAGCAAGUUCCUCACACCAAAAAAAAAAAAAAAACACAUAAAAUGGUCAAAUUUAUUACUGCUUUUAGACAAGCACCCAUUUAGAUUCCUUCUUACUCAGUCAAGUUGUGCUCUCUCUCCUCCCUGGUCCAAAACCAUGCUCAGCACGGGGCAAAGUAAAGUUUCCCUAGCAUGGGAAGUGUACGUGUCGAGUUCUUAUUGGCAAUUUGAGAUUCUAUACGUGUUGAGUGUGGAAAGUUGUGAAUAG